CCUACGGGAGGCAGCAGUGAGGAAUAUUGGUCAAUGGACGAGAGUCUGAACCAGCCAAGUCGCGUGAAGGAUGACUGCCCUAUGGGUUGUAAACUUCUUUUAUAUGGGAAUAAAAUGUUCCACGUGUGGGAUUUUGUAUGUACCAUAUGAAUAAGGAUCGGCUAACUCCGUGCCAGCAGCCGCAGUAAUACGGAGGAUCCGAGCGUUAUACGGGUUUAUUGGGUUUAAAGGGAGCGUUGGUGGGUUGUUAAGUCAGUUGUGAAAGUUUGCGGCGAAACCGUAAAAUUGCAGUUGAAACUGGCAUUCUUGAGUACAGUAGAGGUGGGCGGAAUGCGUGGUGUAGCGGUGAAAUGCUUAGAUAUCACGAAGAACUCCGAUUGCGAAGGCAGCUCACUGGACUGCAACUGACACUGAGGCUCGAAAGUGUGGGGAUCAAACAGGAUUAGAUACCCUAGUAGUC
rnacentral:rRNA from 1 species